AGAUCUUCCUGUCAGUACCAUGAACUGUGUGAGGAUGCAUCUGUGAUUAUAAUGAGCGAUUAGAAGACAUAAUCAAAAGUAAAGCAUUGAUCAAACCCAGAAAAGGUGUGUAGAAGGAGAGGACAUUUCUUGUGGAUAUACAGACCCAUCCUUGAUUAAAAUGAUUCAUGUGAAGAGGUUUCAAGGCAUUCCUAUGUCAAAGUCAAUGAGAAGUUUGUGCAAAGAGGAGGACUAUGCAUUCCUAGGAAUGUCAGAAAGCAAAAGAGAAGGGCCAGAAGCAACAGCUUCUUUGGAGGACGACUGGAGACACAAAAAGGAAGAGAGGGUCCGAUGGCAACUGGAGAGAGAGCAGCAGGAAAAAGACAGACAACGAGAACUAGAGGAGAGAAAGAAGGAGAAAGAGGAGCAGUGGCGCGCUCAUGUUGCAGAACUGACCUCCACCCAGGAGAAGACUCUGCAGGACAGACUAACAAGACUCCGCAGGUUCAGGGAGUUCCAAAGAAAGGUGUUGGAAGAAGAGGGAAUGAUAGCUGGACUCACAGUUGACCAACUCCUCACCAGGAUGUAGAUACCGUCUAUGACCAGACCCAUUCUACAUCGGUGCAAAAAAAAAAAAAAAACAUGUUAGCAACAAUAACAAUGGUAGACAACAAUGGCGAUAGAGCUUCAUUUGCGUGCAUUGCUUGUAAAUUGUAUGUUUAAAAAAGCACUGUAUAAAGCAGAGAGCAUAAUGAGAGACACCACAGGGUUAUAUAACAUUGUGGUGUUGCCUGUGUUUACCAAUAUGAAGGAAUUGCCACUUUAGGUUUAAUGCUCGUUUGUGAAAACAUUACAGCGUUGCUAAAGGAACAAAAUAAUACUAGGAUUAUCGCCUCCUCCAUGUUUGUGCAGACUAGAAUAAUACAUUGUAUCAUGUGUAGUUAAAACUAAUAAAAUGUGACUGUAAUUCUCA
rnacentral:lncRNA from 1 species